rnacentral:lncRNA from 1 species
AUUCGAACUCAUGCACCAUCUUCUUAUAUCUAUAAAUCUUUAAAAUUUCCCCUUAUAAAUAACUGCUUUCCAGUCCUCCAAAAACGUCAUUUGGGUGCUGAAUCUUUUAAAUUUGUACAGUGCAAUAUGAACUAGUACACUUCUAAAGCUUUAACGGUAACGACAGUUAUGAUGGUACAAGAACGAUUACGUCAAUAAAAAUACCAAAUAAACAGCAC